GAGGCAGCCGGGCAGAAGCUAUGUCAGUGAGCAGAGAGCCUGACUAGGCCCAAGGAGGCUACAAGCAGAGCACCCAGAAAGAGAGUGAUUCCAGAGAACUGAGAGACCAUGAAGAUGGGAAAAGACACUCUGUUCUCAUGGUGGAAUUGUAUCUCAGCCUAGCAUUCCUCACAGAUACAGGACAGCAGGCAUCACAUGCCCGUGUGAAAAUGUCCAGCAAAAGGAAGAGGACUGACACUUCCCAGGUCAAGGAACCACAUAUCCAGGCUCCCUUGCCAACUGGCUUCUAAGCAUGAUAAAUCAAUUGGAGGCACUGGUACAGGACUGGAGAGUGGAAAGCAGGGAGGCGCAAGAGAACAUUUCUUUUUACUGUUUGCUUACUGACUCCAGAAAAGACUUCAGAUGCAGUAUUUCAAUAGGGAACUCUUGAAGACCAGAAACUCCAGAGGCAAAGGAAUGCACUUCCAGUGAGGAAUUUAUGGUAUGAUGGCCUUUGCAUGAGGGUGGUAUUUUGAAGCAGUCAUGCCCAUAGGUAGUUGUUGGCCUUCCCAAUCAGCAAAACUGACCCUGUUUUUUUAAUAAAAAUAUAAAAGGUAUUUGGAAAGUUACUACAAGAAAACAUCAACAGCCAGAGAGCAAUCAUGCCCAAUGCCUGCUUUCCCACAUGCUCACACACAGCCCUACCCCACUCUACCUUCCACUCUUUUGCUUUUAUGCUCGGUUUUGGGAUCCACGUCUGACCCCUGAGGUAAUUAAUAAAAAUUCACCCUGGGGUAUUGGAGACUGACAGGCAGAGGUAACAUACAGAUGUGUAAGUCUGCCAGCCAACAGGAACCAAAAACUUCUCAGUGUCUUAGAAAAGAUGUUUGUCUUGCAAAGAGGUUUUAUUUGCGAUUUGGAACACACGGGACCUCAAAAGUAGUUCUUAUUGUUGUUAUUUUUGUUCUUUUCUAUCCCACAAAUAGGUUAGUCUUGAGAAAAUACUGAUCUAUGUUUCUUUCUAAUAUUUAACCUGAAAUUAUCUCGGCUCUCUCAAUUAGGACUGACAAAAUGUUGGGUUGUGGGAGGAGAGGAGAAGCCAUUAUAAAUGAGCAGGGUCCAGGGGUCCAGGAGAAAGCCCAGGCCUAACUAGCAUAGGAAUGCAAAUCCCGGGGAAGAUUUAUUAGCUGGCCCAGCUGUGGAGAAGGCCUGGACCUGCUCCACACCAACUAUCAUAAUCACAAAGAAGAUGAGAUAUUAACUUACAAAAAAAUAUUGCAUUGGGAUUUUAUCAAAGAAAUAUUUUGAAUAGUGAAUCUUUAUAUCAAAUGGAUAAUUUGAUCACUUAAAGUUUUUAGAAUCUCCCAACAAUCUUAUAUUUAAUAUUCAUAAGUGAUUUAAUAGCAAAGGGCUUUUCUUUUAUCCAAACUUCUACAGAUAAGAAAUUUAUAUGAAUUGGCAAUUAUUCAUUUCACAAUAAGAAAUGCUGAUGAUGGUGGUCCUGAAAGACUGCAAGAUUCUCAAUCUAAAAUAAAGUUAAACUGUGCAGUGAAGUGUUAGUGUUAUUGUUGUUGGAUAUUUCUAAUUGUUGGAUAUUUUUAUUGUAAUUUAGUUCUAAUCCAUGCACUGUUUAUAUAUGGGAUAUGUAAUAACCCAGAGUUAAUCAAAACAUCCCCAAAUUCUAAUUUUGUCAUUUCAAGAAUGCUAUAUAAAUGGCAUCAUAUAGUAUUAAUCUCUUGGGAUUGGCUUUUCCCACUGAUUAUGAUUCCCAGGAAAUUCAUCUAAGUUGUUACAUAUAGCUAUGGUAUGUUCUUUUUUAUUGCUGAGUAGUAUUCCAUGGUAUGGAUGUAAAUUUGUUUAACCAUUCAUCUGUUGAAGGACAUCUGCAUUGUUUCUAGUUUGGGCUGUUAUGAAUGAAGCUGUUAUAAACACUUAUGUACAGUUUUUUGUGUGAUUAUUACUUUUUAUUUCUCUGGGAUAAAUGCAGAAGAAUGUAAUUAUUGUGUCAGAUAGUAAAUGGGUGUUUAAUUUCCUGAGAAACCAACACACUGUUUCCAGAGAGGCUGUACCAUUUCACAUUUCCCUGGGCAGUAUAUGAUUGAUUCCAUUUCCCAUUCAUCCUUGCAGCAUUUGAUGUUAUCACUAUUUUAUAUAAGGAAUUCUGAUAGGAAUAAAAUAAUAUCUCAUCAUGAUCUGAAUUUAUAUUUUCCUAAUGCUAAUAAUAUAGAAAUUCAUCUCAUGUGUUGUUUACUUUGCAUUGGUGUAUCUUCUUCAAAGAAAUAUCCCUUUAUGUCUUUCACUCAUUUUCUAUUUGAAUUGUUUUUUUCAUUGACUUUUUAGAUUUUUCUAUAUAUUUUAGAUACUAGCCCUUUGUUGGGCAUGGCUAUGAAAAUAUUUUCUCCUAAUCCCUGGCUUAUCUUUUCAUCCUCUUCACUAGGUCUUUUGCAGAGAAAAAGUUUUCUAUUUGGAAGAAGUCCAAUUUAUCAUUUUUUCCUUUUAUGGAUUAUGUUUAUGGUGUCAAGUCUAAGAACUCUUUUUCCAACCCAAGUUUCCAAAGAUUUUCUAUGUUUAUUUUUUAAAGUUUAUAGAUUUAUGUUUUCAAAUAAACCCAUGCUCCAUUUUGAGUUUUUCUAUAAGGUAUGAGGUUUAGGCUGACAGUUUUUUUCUUUUUUUUCUUCCUUUUUUUUUUUUUUGGCCUAUGGAUGCU